rnacentral:rRNA from 1 species
UGAGUACGAGCUGCUACGGCAGCGGAGUGGGUGAUGUCAAGCUUCCAAGAAAAGCCCUAUACCCGUUAAGGCAUGACGGCCUGUACCCGAAACCGACACAGGUGGGGUGGUAGAGAAUACCGAGGGGCGCGAGGUAACUCUCUCUAAGGAACUCGGCAAAAUGGCCCCGUAACUUCGGGAGAAGGGGUGCCACCGCAAGGUGGUCGCAGUGAAGAGGCCCAGGCGACUGUUUACCAAAAACACAGGUCUCCGCUAAGUCGCAAGACGAUGUAUGGGGACUGACGCCUGCCCAGUGCCGGAAGGUUAAGGAAGCUGGUCAGCGAAAGCGAAGCUAGCGACUGAAGCCCCGGUGAACGGCGGCCGUAACUAUAACGGUCCUAAGGUAGCGAAAUUCCUUGUCGGGUAAGUUCCGACCCGCACGAAUGGCGUAACGAUCUGGGCGCUGUCUCGGAGAGAGGCUCGGCGAAAUAGAAUUGUCUGUGGAGAUGCGGACUACGUGCACCCGGACAGAAAGACCCUAUGAAGCUUUACUGUAGCUUGGUAUUGUGCCCGGGCUCUGAAUGCGCAGGAUAGGUGGGAGGCUUUGAUCCAUUGCUUGUGGGUGAUGGUGAGCCACUGGUGAGAUACCACUCUUUCAGAGCUAGGGUUCUAACGGUCACCCGUUAUCCGGGGACCGGACAGUAUCAGGUGGGCAGUUUGACUGGGACGGUCGCCUCCUAAAAGGUAACGGAGGCGCGCAAAGGUUCCCUCAGGCUGGUUGGAAAUCAGCCGACGAGUGUAAAGGCAGAAGGGAGCUUGACUGUGAGACCUACAAGUCGAACAGGGACGAAAGUCGGCCUUAGUGAUCCGACGGUUCUGAGUGGAAGGGCCGUCGCUCAACGGAUAAAAGUUACUCUAGGAUAACAGGCUGAUCUCCCCCAAGAGUUCACAUCGACGGGGAGGUUUGGCACCUCGAUGUCGGCUCAUCGCAACCUGGGGCUGAAGUCGGUCCCAAGGGUUGGGCUGUUCGCCCAUUAAAGCGGUACGCGAGCUGGGUUCAGAACGUCGUGAGACAGUUCGGUCCAUAUCCGGUGCACGCGCAGGAACAUUGAGAGGAUUUCUCCCUAGUACGAGAGGACCGGGAGGAACGCACCUCUGGUGUACCAGUUAUCGUGCCAACGGUAAACGCUGGGUAGCCAUGUGCGGAGUGGAUAACCGCUGAAAGCAUCUAAGUGGGAAGCCCACCUCAAGAUGAGUGUUC